rnacentral:lncRNA from 1 species
UGUCCAGGAAUGGAACCAAAGUCUCGGUCAAAGUCUCAGUCGAUUCCUGAGGCGGAGCUGACAUCUGGGAGGAAGCAGAGGACCCCAGGUGAGGAAGCCAUGGUUUAAAGCAGAGAUCACCAACUGCUGGACCACAGACCUGCACGAGUUCACGGCCUGUUAGGAACCGAGCCACACAGCAGGAGCACAUGCUCCUCUGCAGAAAGUGAUGGGGCUGCCUUGCCAGCUGGAGCCUGAAACUGUGCCCAGGUAGACAGAACUGCGAGUCCCAGGACAGCCUGGGAAGUGUUGGCUGCCUGGUAAUGGAAGAAUGUCCAGGAUGGAAAACAAGAGGCUGGAUCUGCAAAUGACAUUGUAUUUCAGGGGUCUGCUUUCCUGGUCUGCCCCUCCCCACCUCUGUAGCUCCCUCACAGUGACAGCAGAGCUGUGAACCCAGGAACAAACCCCACCAUUGCCCCUGUCCUCUCUCAUCUCUACUUUCCACAUUGAAAAAUAAUAAAAGAGGCCAGGCAUGGUGGCUCAAAACAGCUAUAAUACCAGCACUAGGAUGCCAAGAUGAGAGAAUGGCUUGAGGCCAGGAGUUCAAGACCUGCCUGAGCAACAUAGAGAGACCCACCCCCCAGUCUCUGCAAAAGCUAAAAAUUAGCUGAGCAUGGUGGGAUGCACUUGAAGUCCCAGCUACUUGGAGGCUAAGUCAGGAGGAUCACUUGAGCCCAGAAGGUUGAGGCUGUAAUGAACCAUGAUUGUGCCACUGCAUUCCAGCCUGGGUGACAGAGUGAUAUCCUGUCUCUAAAAAAUAAAUAAGGUAAUAAUAAUAAAAUAAAUGCCCUCCAGGAGUUUCAGUAAAGGGUCUGAAGUAUAUAAUUUGUACUUGUACCUCAGGCCAGCCUUCUGCCAGUAACCAUGAUUGCAGGCUGAUCCCAAAAGUCGUUGUCUUCAUCUGUUUUAUGCUACUAUAACUGAAUACCACAUGCUGGGAAAUUUACUAGGAAUAGAUGUGUACUUAGCUCACAGUUCUGGAGGCUGGGAAGUCCAAGAGCAUGACACCAGCAUCUGGUGAGGUCCUUUAUGCAGCUUCAUCCCAUAGUGAAAGGCAGAAGGGCAAGAGAGCAUGAGAAGGAGCAAGCAAGAGAGGGCCAAAUUCGCUUUUAUAACAACCUGCCCUCUCAAUAGCAAACCCACUUCUGCAAUAACAACAUUAACCUAUUCAUAAGGGUGGAGUCCUCAUGACCUAAUCACCUCUUAAUAAUCCUACUUCUUAGAACCAUCACAAUGGCAAUUAAAUUUCAACAUGAGUUUUGGAGGGGACAUUCAAACCAUAGCUGUACAGUUUAUAUAGCUAGCAUGGUCAGGCUCAAGUAAAGCUAUCGUAGGAUUAUUGAUUGCCAAUCAUGUUCCAGGCUAUGCCUUAAGUGCUUUGUAUACUUGCAACAAAUUUGUGAACUGAGAAUUAUUCUUAUGAGUGUUUUCCAAACGCGGAAACAGGGUUCAGAAGACUUAAAUAGGAAGGUUGCCCAGACAAAACAGCAGGAAUUUGAACCCAGAGGGAAUUUGAACCCAGGUCUGUUCUGCUCUAAAAUCUGUGCUCUAAAAAAACAAACAAAAUUUCUGUUAUGGCAAAUUUCUAAUAUACACAAAAGUUCUACAAACUAGUACCAUGAAUCACCACAUAUCUGCCACCAAGUUACAAUAACCAUCAACACAGGGCCACUCUUGUUGCAUCUCCCCCUUCUCCCUAAUUUUUUUUUUUUGUGUGUGAGAUGGAGUUUCACUCUUGUUGCCAAGGCUGGAGUGCAAUG